AACGCAAAUUGCACUCUCUGGUAUUCCGGGGAGUAUGCCUGUUUGAGGGUCGCUUAAUAAACAUCGAUUUCAUCGUUUUUUUUUUAAAAGUGAUGUUUAUCGGAUUUGAGCCGUCUUUUUUUAUAUAUGUAUAAUAUAUUUAAAAAGUGGCUUAAAAUUGAUUUUUCUGGUAUGAUCGAAGCGUAUUUUAUGAUCAAUUUUUGGUUAAAGAAACGCACGCGUACCUAUCAUUCAUAUGAUGUAAUACGUUUGACUAUUGGAUUUGGUUCAUUCGUAUACGAUAUUUUUCAAAUUUUGACCUCAAAUCAGGUAAGAACACCCGCUGAACUUAA
rnacentral:misc_RNA from 1 species